UAAAACAACUCUCAGCAACGGAUAUCUUGGCUCUUGCCACGAUGAAGAACGCAGCGAAAUGCGAUACCUAAUGUGAAUUGCAGAAUUCCGCGAAUCAUCGAGUUUUUGAACGCAAGUUGCGCCCGAGGCUUGUCCAAGGGCAUUUCCGUUAGAGCGUCACC
rnacentral:rRNA from 1 species